GUGCCAGCCGCCGCGGUAAUACCGGCAGCCCGAGUGAUGGCCGAUAUUAUUGGGCCUAAAGCGUCCGUAGCUGGCCGCACGAGUCCGUCGGGAAAUCCGCCCGCUCAACGGGCGGCCGUCCGGCGGAACCUGUGUGGCUUGGGGCCGGAGGACCCGAGGGGUACGUCCGGGGUAGGAGUGAAAUCCUGUAAUCCUGGACGGACCGCCGGUGGCGAAAGCGCCUCGGGAGGACGGACCCGACAGUGAGGGACGAAAGCUGGGCUCUCGAACCGGAUUAGAAACCCUGGUAUCC
rnacentral:rRNA from 1 species